rnacentral:rRNA from 1 species
AUUGAACGCUGGCGGCAUGCUUUACACAUGCAAGUCGAACGGUAACAGGCCGCUAGGUGCUGACGAGUGGCGAACGGGGGAGUAAUGCACCGGAACGUGCCCAGUCGUGGGGGAUAACUACUCGAAAGAGUAGCUAAUACCGCAUACGAUCUAUGGAUGACAGCGGGGGACCGCAAGGCGUCGCGCGAUUGGAGCGGCCCAUGUCAGAUUAGGUAGUUGGUGGGGUAAAGGCUCACCAAGCCAACGAUCUGUAGCUGGUCUGAGAGGACGACCAGCCACACUGGGACUGAGACACGGCCCAGACUCCUACGGGAGGCAGCAGUGGGGAAUUUUGGACAAUGGGCGCAAGCCUGAUCCAGCAAUGCCGCGUGCAGGAAGAAGGCCUUCGGGUUGUAAACUGCUUUUGUACGGAACGAAACGGCUCUGGUUAAUACCCGGGGCUAAUGACGGUACCGUAAGAAUAAGCACCGGCUAACUACGUG